GACGAACGCUGGCGGCGUGCUUAACACAUGCAAGUCGAGCGAUGAAGUUCCUUCGGGAAUGGGUUAGCGGCGGACGGGUGAGUAACACGUGGGUAACCUGCCUCAUAGAGGGGAAUAGCCUUCCGAAAGGAAGAUUAAUACCGCAUAAGAUUGUAGUAUCGCAUGAUAUAGCAAUUAAAGGAGUAAUCCGCUAUGAGAUGGACCCGCGUCGCAUUAGCUAGUUGGUGAGGUAACGGCCCACCAAGGCGACGAUGCGUAGCCGACCUGAGAGGGUGAUCGGCAACAUUGGGACUGAGACACGGCCCAGACUCCUACGGGAGGCAGCAGUGGGGAAUAUUGCACAAUGGGGGAAACCCUGAUGCAGCAACGCCGCGUGAGUGAUGACGGUCUUCGGAUUGUAAAGCUCUGUCUUCAGGGACGAUAAUGACGGUACCUGAGGAGGAAGCCACGGCUAACUACGUGCCAGCCGCCGCAGUAA
rnacentral:rRNA from 1 species